GUGUUUAUUUAAGUGGCCCAUAUACUCAAACAGGAACAUUAUAGAGAUUAGCUGGUCCCUUUGCUAGGAUGACAUGCAAAUUUGUGAAGUGUUUGACAUUUAA